GCUUGGGAAUAUGCCUUUAGGUGGGGGACAACAGUUGGAAACGACUGCUAAUACCGCAUAACGUCUACGGACCAAAGUGGGGGACCUCCGGGCCUCACGCCUAAAGAUUAGCCCAAGUGGGAUUAGCUAGUUGGUUGAGGUAAAGGCUCACCAAGGCAACGAUCCCUAGCUGGUUUGAGAGGAUUAUCCCCCACACUGGUACUGAGACACGGACCAGACUCCUACGGGAGGCAGCAGUAGGGAAUAUUGGUCAAUGGGCGAGAGCCUGAACCAGCCAUGCCGCGUGCAGGAAGACAGCUU
rnacentral:rRNA from 1 species